CGUUGCUGCGGUAACCGGGAUGGGAGGUGCGGGACCGGAGCCUGGCACGGCGAGACUGAAGGGAUAGAGAUGUAAAAUCCAGCAACACGGGCUGCAAUCAGUGAUCUCAGAGGACAACACUCGGGCAUGAGAUCGGGAACAUCACCUCAUUUAUGUGCCCAUCCCUGUGUGCUGCCCCACGGCUGUGUCAUGGCGCAGCAGAGCCAUUGGAGAUCGGCGAGCAAAAGGAGUCACAAUCAAUAUUAUAUGAGAACCACUGUGCCCGUCAAACCGGGAUGGCAAAGUGCUGCAGUGUACAACAUUGAUUUUCACACACAAA